GGACGAACGCUGGCGGCGUGCUUAACACAUGCAAGUCGAGCGGUAAGGCCCUUUCGGGGGUACACGAGCGGCGAACGGGUGAGUAACACGUGGGUGACCUGCCCUCAGCUCUGGGAUAAGCCUGGGAAACCGGGUCUAAUACUGGAUAUGACUCCAUGACGCAUGUUGUGGGGUGGAAAGCCUUGUGCGGCCGAGGAUGGGCCCGCGGCCUAUCAGCUUGUUGGUGGGGUGAUGGCCACCAAGGCGACGACGGGUAGCCGGCCUGAGAGGGCGACCGGCCACACUGGGACUGAGACACGGCCCAGACUCCUACGGGAGGCAGCAGUGGGGAAUCUUGCGCAAUGGGCGAAAGCCUGACGCAGCGACGCCGCGUGAGGGAUGACGGCCU
rnacentral:rRNA from 1 species